rnacentral:rRNA from 1 species
UAAGMCCUCGCGUUAUUGGAGCGGCCGAUGUCGGAUUAGCUAGUUGGUVMVGUAAAGGCUCACCAAGGCGACGAUCCGUAGCUGGUCUGAGAGGACGACCAGCCACACUGSGACUGAGACACGGCCCAGACUCCUACGGGAGGCAGCAGUGGSGAAUUUUGGACAAUGGGGGMMMMCCUGAUCCAGCCAUGCCGCGUGAGUGAAGAAGGCCUUCGGGUUGUAAAGCUCUUUCGCAAGGAAAGAAAUCCUAUCCUCUMACAUAGGGUGGGGAUGACGGUACCUUGAUAAGAAGCACCGGCUAACUACGUGCCAGCAGCCGCGGUAAUACGUAGGGUGCGAGCVUUAAUCGGAAUUACUGGGCVUAAAGCGUGCGCAGGCGSHUUUGUMASUCAGAUSUGAAUCCCCGGCUCRACC